rnacentral:rRNA from 1 species
AACGAACGCUGGCGGCAUGCCUAACACAUGCAAGUCGAACGAGACCUUCGGGUCUAGUGGCGCACGGGUGCGUAACGCGUGGGAACCUGCCUUUAGGUUCGGAAUAACUCAGAGAAAUUUGAGCUAAUACCGGAUGAUGUCUUCGGACCAAAGAUUUAUCGCCUUUAGAUGGGCCCGCGUUGGAUUUGCUAGUUGGUGGGGUAAAGGCCUACCAAGGCGACGAUCCAUAGCUGGUCUGAGAGGAUGAUCAGCCACACUGGGACUGAGACACGGCCCAGACUCCUACGGGAGGCAGCAGUGGGGAAUAUUGGACAAGGGGCGAAAGCCUGAUCCAGCAAUGCCGCGUGAGUGAUGAAGGCCUUAGGGUUGUAAAGCUCUUUUACCCGAGAUGAUAAUGACAGUAUCGGGAGAAUAAGCGCCGGCUAACUCCGUG